AGCCUGCCCAGUGACUAAGUUAAACGGCCGCGGUACCCUAACCGUGCAAAGGUAGCGCAAUCACUUGUUCUUUAAAUGAGGACUAGUAUGAACGGCAUCACGAGGGUUAUGCUGUCUCCCUAUUCUAUUCAGUGAAACUGAUCUCCCCGUGAAGAAGCGGGGAUAAAAAUAUAAGACGAAAAGACCCCAUGGAGCUUUAAACUCAGUACCAACUGCCCAAUAAAAACCUUUUACCCCAUGCAGCUAUGGUUACUAGUUUUCGGUUGGGGUGACCACGGAGUAAAAAUCAACCUCCACGAUGAAAGAAACUAACAACCUAACCUAUGAGCUACAGCUCUAAGUAUCAAUAAAUUGACUAAUUGAUCCAAUUACUUGAUCAACGAACCUAGUUACCCUGGGGAUAACAGCGCAAUCCAUUUCAAGAGCUCAUAUCGACAAAUGGGUUUACGACCUCGAUGUUGGAUCAGGGUAUCCCAGUGGCGCAGCCGCUACUAAAGGUUCGUUUGUUCAACGAUUAAA
rnacentral:rRNA from 1 species